rnacentral:rRNA from 1 species
UACGUAGGUGGCAAGCGUUGUCCGGAAUUAUUGGGCGUAAAGCGCGCGCAGGCGGUCCUUUAAGUCUGAUGUGAAAGCCCACGGCUCAACCGUGGAGGGUCAUUGGAAACUGGGGGACUUGAGUGCAGAAGAGGAAAGCGGAAUUCCACGUGUAGCGGUGAAAUGCGUAGAGAUGUGGAGGAACACCAGUGGCGAAGGCGGCUUUCUGGUCUGCAACUGACGCUGAGGCGCGAAAGCGUGGGGAGCAAACAGG